CACGAGAACCAUGUCGAGCCGCACAACGGCCGCGGUGCCAGCGAGGAGGCCGACGACCUCCACCCACCCAGGUUGCCGCUCCUCUGGGUGAUACAGCUUCUCGCGCCGUGGAGGUCUAGAAGGGCAACAUCUACGCACACGCAUGCCGACAUGCGAGGACAGGGGCUGCGCGCAUCUGCGUGCCUCACAGAGGUCAGCCACGCCAAUGCCACCCAGCUCCACAGCCCCCUGGGACUGCCAGUCUUCAUCUGCUCUUUGCUGCUGGUCCUGGUCAUGGACGAGCUAGGACACGCCCCAGCCAGGCUGCUCCUGCCGCUGGUGCUGGUCGUGGCCAUGCCACGGCGACACGCGCGGUCACCUCUGCCAAGCUGUUUUUUUUUUCCGUGGUGUGUUGCUUGCUGAAUCUUUUGCUAGCUAAAUGCUGAUAUGGACUACCGUUUUUUUUUGUCAAGACACAAUGCUACCAUUUUGUUUUAUGAAAAUAGGUAUUCUAGUGCAAACUUGUGUGAGUUUACUUCUUUUUAGACAAACAGUCAUGAUAAUUUUUCCCUUAUCCGGUCGAGUAAAUACAAAUGCCCUUGAUACAUUUUUGUUCAGAUGUAGAAGAUCAGAGGGGAUGAAGCAUAGUGUCUAAGUUGGCUUCUGAAAGUAGCUGAGUUGUUUUGAUAAUUAUGUCUAAGUUUGCUUCCGAAAGUAAUUGAGUUGUUUGAUAAUUAUGCCUAAGUUGGGCUUCUGAAAGCAAUUGAGUUGUUUUUAUAAUUAUGCAUAAGUUGGCUUCUGAAAAUAAUUGAGUUGUUUGAUAAUUAUGUCCAAUUUUGCUUCUGAAAGUGGCUGAGUUGUUUCGAUAAUUAUGUCUAAGUUCGUUUCUGAAAGUAAUUGAGUUGUUUGAUAAUUAUGCCUAAGUUGGCUUCUGAAAGCAAUUGAGUUAUAUUGAUACCAUGCUUAAGUUGGCUUCUCAAAGUAACUGAGUUGUUUUGAACUUUUGAUAAUUAUAGCUGCCGACGAUCCAAAGGGGAGCCGCAUGGUGGUUCAAGAUGCCUGCCGACGAGCGAGCCGCGCGGUAGUGUAGGGUGCCAGUCGACAGAGAGCGAGUCACGUGGAAGUUCGGCAAGAUCUGUGGCGGGAAAGAGACACGCGUGAGAGGACCGCGAACUCAUCGGCGGAGUGCGAGCCGUGCGCUAGUGCGGGGUGCUUGGUGACGAAGAUUCACCAUGGAGGCGCCUAAAUCGACUUUCCAAGGAGAGGAAAGAACUGGACGAUGCAAGAACAAGCAUCUGGGAAAAGAGGGACAAGGGUGGUGCUAUGGUGGAGGAUCGUCUGAUUUGGGGCGACAAGGAGUGAAUGAAGAUAGAGCUCAUGGCGUAAACCAAGACUGUCAUCCAUGGCGCUCAAUGGAUCUGCAGGCUUGCCGCCGCGGCAGCCGCCCAGCUCCAUGGAACAGAGGAGGCAGUACUUGCAAGCCGGCACCUGUGUACCAGUUAAUUAUGGUUUAUGCGUACAGAUGCCCAACUAGCUGGGAUCUUUUCGUUGAUCUGCUACAUACUGCUUAAAUCUGGAUGUGUUUUUCGUGCGGGGUGGUUUUUCACCGAAGCAUUAAAUAGUUACUUUGUGGUGUGCGGGUUUAA